rnacentral:lncRNA from 1 species
GAGGGAGCUUCCGGGGCACAUUGAGAAAGCUUGGUGUGUGUUCUCUGCAGCUGGGGAGGGGAGAUCUUAGAUUCCUGCCUAACUCAGGCCUGAGAAAGCUGAAGUUGCUUGUGACCAAAAGACAGAUGACCUGCAUUUCCAGGAUUUGUUGGAGGGUUGAAGGUUUUCCAUAGAACAAAUAUUUGCCACUCAGCAUAGGGAAAACCAGGCUGGAGCUCUUUUAAGUUCUUCCCAAGAAGAUCACAUGAAGAGUAAAAUUUGUUGGUGUAUUGUGGACCACCAGAUCAGGGCUGGUGGUGGAGUGGGGGGGUGGCAGCUGGAGAAACAGAAUCCAUUGCCCACAUCACAGAUCGUGUUGGGCUCUGCCGAACCCAAGGGUUACAAGAGUCUGUUUUAGACAUCUGCCAGGUCAAAGAGCAAGCCACGAGGGAAACUAUGCUGUGUCCCGCGCUCGUUAACCCUAUGCUUCUGACUGGUGCAUGUUUGAGAUGAGUCUGGACUUCCUGGGACCUGUCCGCCUUGGCUGAGCUGGGGGCGCUGAAGGGAUGACCACUCUUUGGCAAGUUACUGACCAUUCCCGGAAUCUAGGUUCUUCACAGUCAGGGCAGGUUUGGGGCAAGGACUCCACCAGGGGACUUACUCCAAGCAGUGACGAUGCCACUCACAGCAAGACUCAUGGAGGGCUACAGAAUGAAGACCACAUUUGAAUUCUGGCUCUUCCUGUCUUCCUCUAGAAGCCACAGAAGCCUUGACAUCUGGCUCUGCUUUCUGGAGAACCCAGGCUGAGGGGUGUGCUUCCAUAAGAAUGCAUUCCUUCAGCUGCCCAUGGAGAUGGGUGGCCUGAGGCUGAUGCAUGGUAGUGCCCACCUUCCAGAGUGGGCAGCCUGGAUAUGGCACAGAUGUCCAGGCAGGGAAAGCUGGAUUUAGGGAGGCCCAGCACAGGAGCUGGAGGUGGCCCAAUUCCAUGAGGAAGGAGGAAAGAAAGAACUUAGUGGGAAGAGAAGGAGCAGCGGGCAGGGCCAGGCACUGCUUAGCCAGAAGACCCUCCCCCCUCAACAUCCAGAAAUAGUUUUGGAAGUAGGGACAUUGGAGAGCUGUAAAAAGUGGUUUCUGAUCCAGUGAGAAAUCACCGCUCACCUCCAAAUGACUGUUCCUCUUCCUUUCCAUGGAGUUCCUGGAAAGGAGCGGGAGCCUGGCUGUAGAAGGCCAGGAGGAGGGAGGUGAUGCCCAGGGGAUCUCAGGCAGGUCCCUGGCACCUCUAGAGAUCUGCUUGCAUUUGCUCUUUCUCUACUGCAGGGCCUGGGCCACAAAGGAGGCAAGUCUGCUGUGUCACCCCUUCACCCUUUGGCUGCUGAGUCAUAGGAAUGCCCAGAGGAACCCAAGGAAGAGGCCAGGGCAGUCUGGCUGGGGGUAGUUAGAAAGAUUUCAAUAGUUAAACCUAUCAGGGUUGCCCCACCCUGACCUGGCUGUGGCUUCCUUGUCAGGCCACAUUCAAAGGAGUUAAAGAGAAUGAAAUGAAGGAAUAAUAGGUGGGCAAGAUUAAAGGAACCAGCAAAGGGUAGUGAAGCACCAGGAACCAGCAACAAUCAUUCCUAGCCUGAAGGGACCAAGCAGGGAGCCAGUUGGUGAUUAGGGGGUGGGGGUGGCCUCACAGGAGCCAUAGUCAUAGGUGGACACAGACACUGCCUUCAGGGAGGGGGCCAGGGAAACACGUGCCCUCCCCAGUUCUAACCCUGAGUGGAAGCCUGAGGGCAAGGGAGCCUCCAUGAUACAGUACAGAGGUCAGCCUGGCACCACGCAGGGCAGAGAAGGGUGGGGAGUGGAUCUGGAGGGCCAAAAACACAUCCGGACUCUGGUCUUGUCCAUUACUAUAAUAUUACUUCCCAUGUCUUGAGGAUUCCAGAGGUCCAUUUAUCCCUUCACCAUUAACCGUCCCACCUGUUCAGAUCCUGGCCUUCCCACUGAAAGACAGCAUUCCUGCAACCUAAUUUGUUCGUAUGUUUAAUGAGUAGGUCUCAGCUCCAAUGGCACCUCCACCAGCCUCACUGGAAGCCAUGGUCCUCCACGGUCCUGUGAUGCUUUGCAUAUGAUGUGCCUACCCUGGCUUGCCCUCAACCCCCACACCCUCAACUCCUCUGCCCUACUCCUUAUCUUUUUUAUUCUGUACCUAGUAACACUAUAUAUAAUAUAGUUUGUUAUUUAUUGUAGUUUCUCCUGACUAGCAUGUGAGCUCAUAGGGCAGCAAAUUUUGUUUUGUUCAUUGCUAUACCCUAAGCUCCUAGAACAGUGCCUGGC